AAGGUAGCUCCGCCAGUGAGUGGUUGUACUGGUGUAAGCGUGUAGCCCGGGACAUAGGCAAAUCCGUGUCCCAAUAGGGUGAGACGUGAUGCGUAGCCGUUGAGGCGAAGUAGGGUGAUCCUCUGCUGCCGAGAAAAGCCUCUAGCGAGAACAUGUGCGGCCCGUACCCCAAACCGACACAGGUGGUCAGGUAGAGAAUACUAAGGCGGUCGGGUGAACUGUGGUUAAGGAACUCGGCAAAAUGCCCCCGUAACUUCGGGAGAAGGGGGGCCAAAGCACUUGAAGCCCUUCGCGGGCUAGGGUGAGUUGGCCGCAGAGACCAGCGGAAAGCGACUGUUUACUAAAAACACAGGUCCAUGCGAAGUCGUAAGACGAGGUAUAUGGACUGACGCCUGCCCGGUGCUGGAACGUUAAGAGGACCGGUUAGCUCCCUUGUGGGGCGAAGCUGAGAAUUUAAGCGCCAGUAAACGGCGGUGGUAACUAUAACCAUCCUAAGGUAGCGAAAUUCCUUGUCGGGUAAGUUCCGACCUGCACGAAUGGCGUAACGACUUUCCGGCUGUCUCAACCACAGGCCCGGUGAAAUUGCACUACGAGUAAAGAUGCUCGUUACGCGCGGCAGGACGGAAAGACCCCGGGACCUUUACUAUAGCUUGGUAUUGGUUUUCGGUUCGGCUUGUGUAGGAUAGGUGGGAGACUGUGAAGCGGGGACGCUAGUUCUCGUGGAGUCGUUGUUGAAAUACCACUCUGGUCGGAUUGGGAAUCUAACCUAGGGCCCUGAUCGGGUUCAGGGACAGUGCCUGGUGGGUAGUUUAACUGGGGCGGUUGCCUCCUAAAAGGUAACGGAGGCGCCCAAAGGUUCCCUCAGCCUGGUUGGCAAUCAGGUGUUGAGUGUAAGUGCACAAGGGAGCUUGACUGUGAGACUGACGGGUCGAGCAGGUGCGAAAGCAGGGACUAGUGAUCCGGCAUCUCCUGGUGGAAGGGAUGUCGCUCAACGGAUAAAAGGUACCCCGGGGAUAACAGGCUGAUCUUGCCCAAGAGUCCAUAUCGACGGCAUGGUUUGGCACCUCGAUGUCGGCUCGUCGCAUCCUGGGGCCGGAGUAGGUCCCAAGGGUUGGGCUGUUCGCCCAUUAAAGCGGCACGCGAGCUGGGUUUAGAACGUCGUGAGACAGUUCGGUCCCUAUCCGCCGCGCGCGUAGGAGACUUGAGGAAGGCUGUCCCUAGUACGAGAGGACCGGGACGGACGAACCUCUGGUAUGCCAGUUGUCACGCCAGUGGCAUGGCUGGUUAGCUACGUUCGGAAGGGAUAACCGCUGAAGGCAUCUAAGCGGGAAGCCUGUUCCUAGAUGAGGUCUCCCACCCCUUUGUGGGUUAAGGCCCCCAAGAGACGAUUGGGUUGAUAGGCCAGACAUGGACGCACAGUAAUGUGUUUUUGAGUGGACUGGUACUAAUAGGCCGAGGACUUGCCCAC
rnacentral:rRNA from 1 species